rnacentral:rRNA from 1 species
GACGAACGCUGGCGGCGUGCUUAACACAUGCAAGUCGAACGGAAAGGCCCUGCUUUUGUUGGGUGCUCGUGUGGCGAACGGGUGAGUAACACGUGAGUAACCUGCCCUUGACUUUGGGAUAACUUCAGGAAACUGGGUCUAAUACCGGAUAGGAUCUCCUGCUGCAUGGUGGGGGUUGGAAAGUUUCGGCGGUUGGGGAUGGACUCGCGGCUUAUCAGCUUGUUGGUGGGGUAGUGGCUUACCAAGGCUUUGACGGGUAGCCGGCCUGAGCGGGUGACCGGCCACAUUGGGACUGAGAUGCGGCCCAGACUCCUACGGGAGGCAGCAGUGGGGAAUAUUGCACAAUGGGCGGAGGCCUGAUGCAGCAACGCCGCGUGCGGGAUGACGGCCUUCGGGUUGUAAACCGCAUUCGCCUGUGACGAAGCGUGAGUGACGGUAAUGGGUACAGAAGCACCGGCUAACUACGUG